GUCAAGGUGCCAGAGUGGUUAAUGGGCUGCCCUGCUAUGAAUAUCUGACUUCGGUUAGCAUUCGAGUUGUUUAGGCAGUGGCUUCGGUCGCGCAGGUUCGAAUCCUGUCCUUGACG
rnacentral:tRNA from 1 species